rnacentral:rRNA from 1 species
UACGGAAGGCAGCAGUGGGGAAUAUUGCACAAUGGGCGCAAGCCUGAUGCAGCCAUGCCGCGUGUAUGAAGAAGGCCUUCGGGUUGUAAAGUACUUUCAGUCGUGAGGAAGGUGUUAAGGUUAAUAACCUUAGCAAUUGACGUUAGCGACAGAAGAAGCACCGGCUAACUCCGUGCCAGCAGCCGCGGUAAUACGGAGGGUGCGAGCGUUAAUCGGAAUUACUGGGCGUAAAGGGCACGCAGGCGGUUAAUUAAGUUGGAUGUGAAACUCCCCGGGCUUAACCUGGGAAUGGCAUUCAAGACUGGUUAGCUAGAGUCUUAUAGGAGGGGGUAGAAUUCCAUGUGUAGCGGUGAAAUGCGUAGAGAUGUGGAGGAAUACCGGUGGCGAAGGCGGCCCCUGGACAAAGACUGACGCUCAUGUGCGAAAGCGUGGGGAGCAAACGAGGGAUUAGAUA